rnacentral:rRNA from 1 species
UACGGAGGGGACUAGCGUUGUUCGGAAUUACUGGGCGUAAAGCGCACGUAGGCGGAUUUGUAAGUCAGGGGUGAAAUCCCGGGGCUCAACCCCGGAACUGCCUUUGAUACUGCGAAUCUCGAGUCCGGAAGAGGUGAGUGGAACUCCGAGUGUAGAGGUGAAAUUCGUAGAUAUUCGGAAGAACACCAGUGGCGAAGGCGGCUCACUGGCCCGGUACUGACGCUCAGGUGCGAAAGCGUGGGGAGCAAACAGG